rnacentral:lncRNA from 1 species
CCUCAAGUCCAUAUCACCACGAAUCCUAGUGACGUGCGAGCGACCUUUGGGCUUCGUAUUUAGCUCUAAGUUUGGGACCAACUCGAAAGUUGGCAGAGACACUUCUUCAGUCGACACAUCAUGUAGGAUGGGGAACUCGUUUCCCCAAAUACGCAAUGUGUGUUCCAAUGUGUACACCUCAUCGAUAUAUUAUUCGUCAUAUAUCGAGGCGUCAGCAGAAGUUGUAGCAACGUGCGCACACAGGUACCAAAGAGUCUAGAAACUCUCACAGUCGCACCGCCUGUUUGGGAGAUCAACUCCGUAGAACCUAGGCAAGAUACCCGGUCAACGACCAAUAGAC